AAUAUUGGACAAUGGGGGCAACCCUGAUCCAGCCAUGCCGCGAGUGUGAAGAAGGUCUUCGGUUUGUAAAGCAUUUUAAGUUGGGAGGUAGGGUUGUGGAUUAAUACUCACCAAUUUUGACGUUCCCAACAUAAUAAGCACCGGCUAACUCUGUGCUCGCCGCCGCGGUAAUACAUAGGGUGCAAGCGUUAAUCGGAAUUACUGGGCGUAAAGCGCGCGUAGGUGGUUCAGUAAGAUGGGUGUGAAAUCCCCGGGCUCAACCUGGGAACUGCAUCCAUAACUGCUGGGCUAGAGUACGGUAGAGGGUAGUGGAAUUUCCUGUGUAGCGGUGAAAUGCGUAGAUAUAGGAAGGAACACCAGUGGCGAAGGCGACCACCUGGGCUAAUACUGACACUGAGGUGCGAAAGCGUGGGGAGCAAACAGG
rnacentral:rRNA from 1 species